rnacentral:rRNA from 1 species
CCUACGGGAGGCAGCAGUGAGGAAUAUUGGUCAAUGGACGAGAGUCUGAACCAGCCAAGUGGCGUGAAGGAUGACUGCCCUAUGGGUUGUAAACUUCUUUUAUAUGGGAAUAAAAUGUUCCACGUGUGGGAUUUUGUAUGUACCAUAUGAAUAAGGAUCGGCUAACUCCGUGCCAGCAGCCGCGGUAAUACGGAGGGUCCGAGCGUUAUCCGGAUUUAUUGGGUUUAAAGGGAGCGUAGGUGGAUUGUUAAGUCAGUUGUGAAAGUUUGCGGCUUAACCGUAAAAUUGCAGUUGAAACUGGCAGGCUUGAGUACAGUAGAGGUGGGCGGAAUGCGUGGUGUAGCGGUGAAAUGCAUAGAUAUCACGAAGAACUCCGAUUGCGAAGGCAGCUCACUGGACUGCAACUGACACUGAGGCUCGAAAGUGUGGGUAUCAAACAGGAUUAGAUACCCCUGUAGUC